GACGAACGCUGGCGGCGUGCCUAACACAUGCAAGUCGAACGGUAACAGGUCUUCGGAUGCUGACGAGUGGCGAACGGGUGAGUAAUACAUCGGAACGUGCCCGAUCGUGGGGGAUAACGCAGCGAAAGCUGUGCUAAUACCGCAUACGAUCUACGGAUGAAAGCGGGGGAUCGCAAGACCUCGCGCGGACGGAGCGGCCGAUGGCAGAUUAGGUAGUUGGUGGGAUAAAAGCUUACCAAGCCGACGAUCUGUAGCUGGUCUGAGAGGACGACCAGCCACACUGGGACUGAGACACGGCCCAGACUCCUACGGGAGGCAGCAGUGGGGAAUUUUGGACAAUGGGCGCAAGCCUGAUCCAGCCAUGCCGCGUGCAGGAUGAAGGCCUUCGGGUUGUAAACUAGCUUUUGUUACGGAACGAAAAGACUACUCUCUAAUACAGGGGUGAAGUGACGGUACCGUAAGAAUAAAGCAACCGGCUAACUAACGUGCCAGCAGCCGAC
rnacentral:rRNA from 1 species